GACGAGGUGGCCGAGCGGUCUAAGGCGCUAGAUUCAGGGCUACCUGGACUACUUCAGGGAGAAACUUCUAGUCCGUAAGGGCGUGGGUUCAAAUCCCAUCCUCGUCA
rnacentral:tRNA from 1 species